rnacentral:rRNA from 1 species
UACGUAGGGUGCGAGCGUUAAUCGGAAUUACUGGGCGUAAAGCGUGCGUAGGCGGUUCGUUAUGUCUGCUGUGAAAGCCCCGGGCUUAACCUGGGAAUGGCAGUGGAAACUGGCGGGCUUGAGUGUGGCAGAGGGGGGUGGAAUUCCGCGUGUAGCAGUGAAAUGCGUAGAGAUGCGGAGGAACACCGAUGGCGAAGGCAGCCCCCUGGGCUGACACUGACGCUGAGGCACGAAAGCGUGGGGAGCAAACAGG